GCCCGAUUAGCUCAGCCGGUUAGAGCGUCGUACUAAUACAAUACCCUGUAUAAAAUUCCUGUAGUUGCGUACAACCCGUUGUAUACGGUCAUGCGAAGGUCAACAGUUCAAUCCUGUUAUUGGGCA